AUGGGUGUCCAGGGCCGCUGCCUCACGGCGGACCUGCUCGCGAAGAGAUGCUGGCAACACAGCCCGUUCUAUGCCCUCUGCAGAUGCCACUCUGAGUCCGCCUUGCACUUAUUCAUGCACUGCUCUUUCUCCCUGGAGCUAUGGAAGAAGGCUUUUCAAACUUUCAGCAUUCCCUUGAACAGGCUGCCUAUAGACGGAACUCACUCUUUCAGGCAAUGGCGGGAGUAUGGAUUCGAUUCAUUUGCCAGGAGAGACCUGAAGAUGAAGUGGUCUUCCGCGACUACUGUGGUGGCCUGGUUCAUUUGGACUGAGCGUAAUGCCAGGAUUUUCAGGGGCAUCGCCACCAGCGUUGCUUCCCUAAUGCAGCGUGGCAGUAAUUUCCUGGGUUCCCAGUGA
rnacentral:rRNA from 1 species